UAGUUUUGUUUGUUAUAGCAGCCAUAGGAAACUAAUGCAUCUACCCAUCGUGAUCAGGCAGUUAUAGGGCUGUACAACAACAGAGAAUUAUAGGGCUGUACAACAACAGAGAGAGUUGAGGGAGAACUUCCAAGAGGUCAGCUCCAAACUGCUGAAAUGUGGAUCCUCAAUCCAGCUGCUGAGCUUCCAUAGGGGCAACAACCCUUCUGGGGACAUCACGUUGCUACCUAUUGGGAGGAGGCAGUUGCUCAUCUCAUCAUCUGUUGAGCUGCUCAUCUUCUGAGGGUGCCAGAAAAUGUCUGUCUGCACUGUUUGAUUGGAAAAAGGGUCCAACUUCUGGCAUUUUCUAAUUCGGGGCUGGAUGAGAUAGCUACCUCCUUUCUGAGGAAGUUGGUAUGGUAACAAGAUAACCUGCAGAAGACAAGACAGGCUCGGAAAGGUGUAAGAGUUGUGUCCUAAGGCACAAUGCCAUUUGGCAUCAGAAGCUGAACAGCAGCCAAAUUCCCUGGCUUGUGGUCUCCACUUCCCUCCACCACAGCCCAUUGCCUGCUCAAGGAGAGAACCCUUCUCCCUUUCUGGUUUUCUCUCGAGUCCCCAUCAUUCAUUGUCCCUAUUUUCUUGAGCACAGCAUCUACCCUGUGGUGCUGUUAACAAAUACAAUACAUCAGAGAAAGAAUUACAAAUAUUUAUUGCUAUAAUAACCUCCCACCCAAAAACGGGACAUGGAUCAGAUCAUUAGAGAGAAUCAACUCAGCAUGAGGUGUGCUUUUAUUUCUCCCCUAGAUUUUAAUUCAGAUAAUAUACGUGAUUUUCUGGGAGUGAAUUUCUUAAGGAAACAAGAUUGUGCAUGACAGUGAUGCUGUUUUGCAAAAAGGGAAUUUAUUUUUGAUUCAGUGAUCCCAUCAGA